rnacentral:rRNA from 1 species
GGGACAACCCGCCGAAAGGCGGGCUAAACCCGCGUACAUGCCACCGGGGCAUCCCGGAGGCAGGAAAGGCUUCGGCCGGACAGGGAUGGGCAUGCGGCGCAUUAGGCAGUAGGCGGGGUAACGGCCCACCUAACCGACGAUGCGUAGGGGUUCUGAGAGGAAGGUCCCCCACACUGGUACUGAGACACGGACCAGACUCCUACGGGAGGCAGCAGUGAGGAAUAUUGGUCAAUGGUCGGGAGACUGAACCAGCCAAGCCGCGUGAGGGAUGAAGGUACAGAGUAUCGUAAACCUCUUUUGUCAGGGAACAAAGGCGGGGACGUGUCCCCGGAUGAGUGUACCUGAAGAAAAAGCAUCGGCUAACUCCGUGCCAGCAGCCGCGGUAAUACGGAGGAUGCGAGCGUUAUCCGGAUUUAUUGGGUUUAAAGGGUGCGCAGGCGGUCUGUUAAGUCAGCGGUCAAAGCCCGGGGCUCAACCCCGGCCCGCCGUUGAAACUGGCAGUCUCGAGUUGGAGAGAAGUAUGCGGAAUGCGCGGUGUAGCGGUGAAAUGCAUAGAUAUCGCGCAGAACUCCGAUUGCGAAGGCAGCAUGCCGGCUCCACACUGACGCUGAGGCACGAAAGCGUGGGUAUCGAACAGGAUUAGAUACCCUGGUAGUCCACGCAGUAAACGAUGAAUAAAGGCUGUCCG